rnacentral:rRNA from 1 species
UUUAUUGGGCGUAAAGGGAGCGCAGGCGGUGACUUAAGUCUGAUGUGAAAGCCCACGGCUCAACCGUGGAAGGUCAUUGGAAACUGGGUCACUUGAAUAUAGAAGAGGAAAGUGGAAUUCCAUGUGUAGCGGUGAAAUGCGUAGAUAUAUGGAGGAACACCAGUGGCGAAGGCGACUUUCUGGUCUAUUAUUGACGCUGAGGCUCGAAAGCAUGGGUAGC